rnacentral:rRNA from 1 species
AUGUAUCUUUAUACUGGAGUGUUCACCUCGGAUAUUCAAGAUAAUGUAAUUGUGCCAGAGGAAAUGAUGAAACACGAAAUGUCUGAUCAAUUCACAUUGUAUUUCUUUUUCAUUCCAAACAAGGAAUAUUUGGUUACUUGCAUUAGUUUAAUUGCGUGGCCCUCUAGUUGUCCCACCCUCCACUUACUGUUUGCUGGGUCAGUAAAUGGUCUUCUUAUUUAUAUUAUAUAUAACAGUAAAGGAGCAAUAGCCGGAAGCGUUUCCCCCCCUCUUAUAAGCAAACUAUUUACAUUUCUAUGUUAUGCCUGUUCUUAUGUUAUCUCGGACCCAUUUUCUCCAAACUGGUGCCAUUUUCUUAUAAGAAACAUAUUUGAAUUGACUAAUCAAAAUUCGAUAGAGGUAAACAACAUUUGGUACCUCAUGAUAAUUAGUUACGUGGAUGGGCACCAGACAAACUUUUAUUGUGUUCAUAGUCAUAGGUAUCAGCAGGUGCUCACAUACAUUGUGUGCCAUAUUUACUAG